rnacentral:rRNA from 1 species
UACGGAGGUGGCAAGCGUUGUUCGGAAUUACUGGGCGUAAAGGGCGCGUAGGCGGCAAGGCAAGUCAGGUGUGAAAGCCCCGAGCUUAACUCGGGAAUUGCAUCUGAAACUGCUGUGCUUGAGUUCUGGAGGGGGUAGUGGAAUUCCCAGUGUAGCGGUGAAAUGCGUAGAUAUUGGGAGGAACACCUGCGGCGAAGGCGGCUACCCGGACAGAAACUGACGCUGAGGCGCGAAAGCUAGGGGAGCGAACGGG